rnacentral:tRNA from 1 species
GAGGGUGUAGCUCAGUGGUGGAGCACGUGCUUAGCACGCACGAGGUCUUGGGUUCCAUCUCCAGUAUCACCA